rnacentral:rRNA from 1 species
AUCGAACGCUGGCGGCAUGCUUUACACAUGCAAGUCGAGCGGUAACAGGCCUUCUGUUGCUGACGAGCGGCUGACGAGCGAGUAAUUCAUCGGAACGUACCCAGCGCUGGGGUAUAACGCAGCGAAAGCUGUCCUGAUACCGCAUGGGAUCUGAGGAUGUAAUCGGGGGAGGGGGCAGCAAUGUUUGGCCUGUCGGCUGUGGAGUGGCCGAUGUCGGAUUAGCUAGUUGGGGGGGUAAUGGCCUAGCAUGUCGACGAUCCGUAGCUGGUCUGAGAGGCCGACCAGCGACACGGGGAGUGAGACACGGCCCAGACACCUAAGGGAGGCCGCAGUCGGGAAUUUUAGGCAAUGGUCGCGAGCCUGAUCCAGCAAUGCCGCGGGCGGGAAGAAGGCGUUCGGGUUGGAAACCGCUUUUGGCAGGAGCGAAACGGUGUCCGCUAAUACCGGGCGCUAAUGACGGUACCUGCAGAAUAAGCACCGGCUAACUACGUG